GGAUUAGGCAUGCAAGUCGUGCGGAUUUCAUUUGGUAGCAAUACCGAGUGAAGUCAGCGGCAAACGGGUGCGUAACACAUUGGUGACCUGCCUCACAGUCGGGCAUAACUCUCCGAAAGGAGAGCUAAUUCCACGAUGGUCUCCGGGAUCAAAUCCGGAGUAAAGCGCAAAACGCGCUGUGAGAGGGGCCUAUGGCCUAUCAGCUAGUUGGCGGGGUAAAGGCCCACCAAGGCUAUGACGGGUAGGGGAUGUGAGAGCAUGAUCCCCCUCACUGGGACUGAGACACUGCCCAGACACCUACGGGUGGCUGCAGUCGAGAAUAUUCCUCAAUGGGCGAAAGCUGAAGGAGCGACGCGCGUGCAGGAUGAAGGGCUUCGGCUCGUAAACUGCUUUUCCUAGGGAAGAACAUUGACGGUACCUAGGGGAUAAGAGGUUGCUAACUCUGUGCCAGCAGCAGCGGUAAUACAGAGACCUCAAGCGAUAUCCGGAUUUAUUGGGCGUAAAGGGUCCGAGUGGCCGUUCACGUCGGUGGUCAAAUGUACGGGCUCAACUCGUACACUGCCAUCGAUACGGUUCGGCUAGAGGCUGGGAGAGGUAAGCGGAAUUGCCGGUGUAGUAGUAAUAUGCGUUGAUAUCGGCAAGAACACCAAAUGCGAAGGCAGCUUACUGGAACAGUUCUGACACUCAGGGACGAAAGCGUGGGGAGCGAAAGGGAUUAGAUACCCCUUAGUCCACGCCCUAAA
rnacentral:rRNA from 1 species